rnacentral:rRNA from 1 species
AGGACGAACGCUGGCGGCGCGCCUAAUGCAUGCAAGUCGAGCGACGCAUACCGGAGGGGUAACCCAUCGGUAUGACGGAGCGGCGAACGGGUGAGUAACACGUGAGCAACCUGCCCCACAGACCGGGAUAGCCCAGGGAAACUUGGAUUAAUACCGGAUAUUCUCGAGGAACCACAUGGCUCUUGAGGAAAUGCCUUUGUGCUGUGGAUGGGCUCGCGGCUUAUCAGCUAGUUGGUGGGUAACGGCCUACAAGGCAUCGACGAGUAGCUGGUCUGAGAGGACGAUCAGCCACACUGGGACUGAGACACGGCCCAGACUCCACGGGAGGCAGCAGCAGGGAAUCGUUGCGACAAGUAGGGCGAAAGCCGUAGACGCACGCGACCGCCGCGGUGGGAUGGAACGGCCGUUCGGUUACGUUAACCCGUUUCGAAGGAGGACG